GCCAUGGUUUUCCCAGUUACAAUGUAUGGCUGUGAAAGUUGAACCAUAAGAGGCUGAGUGCCAAAGAAUUGAGGCCUUUGAACUAUGGUGCUGGAGAAGACUCCUGCAAAUCCCCUGGACUACAAGGCGAUCAAUCCUAGAAGAGGUCAACUGUAACUGCUCUUUAGAAGGCCAGAUCCUGAAGUUGAAACUCAAGUACUUUGGCCACCUAAUGAGAACGAAGGACUCACUGGAGAAGAGCCUAAUGCUGGGAAAGAUUGAGGGCAAUAGAAGAAGGGGAUGACAGAAUGAGGUGGCUGGAUGGAGUCACUGAAGGUAAGCUUAAAUGGACUCCAGAAGAUGCUAGAGGACAGGAAGACCUGGAGGAACGCACGACUUAGCAACAACAAGAUUUACACUUGGAAUAAGAUACGAACUGGAUUUAACCUCCAACAGAACCUUACAAAGGAAAGGAUUUCCAGGAAGAUGAUCUGCACUUUGCCUACUGGAAUGGGCUGGCCUGCUGUUUCCUUCCUUUCCUAGUACCCGUUCUCCGUUUGUCCUUUGCUUUUGAGAGACUGGGGAUCUCAUAGUGGAAGGUGAAGAUGAAAUAUUAUGCAGUUGCUGGCAGGCUUGAUGUGAGCCAGAUUCUUCUGGGAAUGUAUGCAGUGUAGACUACUUGGACCCUUAAAAGACUAUUGACUGGGCCGAAUUGCCUGUCCACAUUUUAACGAGAGCACCGAAGAUGCCUAAGUGGAGGACCUUCUUCCCAAGAAGAAAUGCAACUAAGAAAUUUUCCUGGAUCCAUUGUUUGGGAUGGGAAGGAUUUGGCAUUGUUUAUCCAUUAUGUCCCUUAUUCUGUUUUUCCUGCAGAAGUGAGAGGCUUCCUUAUCAGAGCCUGAUUAGAAAGCAAUGGGAAGAUGAAUGACUUUGCUAUGUCUGUUGAAGCUGCAAAGGGCAAUGUCACUUACUCCUGCAAAAUAGUUCCUACUGGUGAUAACUUUGGACUCCAGUAGCAGCAUUAUACACACACCCAUCUGAGUAAACUCUUGCUGGUAAUGCUGCUGCAAAGCACGCCUUCUUAAAAGGGGUUAUUUUCUAACCCCUUCCUUCAUGUGUAGCUGUUCUUUUCUGUCCUGUCCCUGCUCCUAUGGUAGUAGCAGGAAAAGAGUAGCCUUUGAAGAGCUAUACGGCUUACUUAAAGUACCAUAUGAUACUGUGGAUGCUACUUAGAACUGGGUCAAGUUCAGUGGCUGGGAAAGGAACAACAAAAAAUUACUCUGCAGAGUUGGGGAAUCUCUUGACUUGCAGCAAAAUGUUAGCAAUUAUUUGGAAGGUGUUCUUGGACUAUUAAAUGUAUCACAGCUGCCCAGUCAGAAAAUCUCCAAGCAAUGUUCUUUUCAAGGACAUUGCCUUUCCCUACAAUUGAGUGUCUGCAACCUUUUCUGCUCCCUGUGUUUGUGGAUUUGUGCCCCCUUGAGAGAUUCCGAGGGAGACAAUGUAGUCUGUCUCAUGGGAGUUCAUGGUACUUCCAAGUAUUCGUCACAAAUAAAACACUACAAUAAAAAGUA